GGGGAUUUGGCUCAAUGGUAGAGCGCUUGCCUAGCAAGCGCAAGGCCCUGGGUUCGGUCCCCAGCUCCG
rfam:Rattus norvegicus chromosome 10, whole genome shotgun sequence.